rnacentral:misc_RNA from 1 species
AACGCACAUUGCGCCCUCUGGCAUUCCGGAGGGCACACCUGUCCGAGCGCCGUCGCAACACUGAGGCUCAGCCUUGCGUUGGCGGCCAGCUUCUGGAGACGGAAGCUGCCGCUCAAACUCGACGGCGCCGCGACCGGCGGAGACGAACGCACGAAAGCGAGAGUCCCCCGUGUCACGGCCGCCUUGUAGACCAAAUCAAGCUUGGCCUCGGAUCAGGUGGGGAUACCCGCUGAACUUAA